rnacentral:rRNA from 1 species
UCCCUAUCAGAGCCGUUAUAGACCAUGACGUUGAUAGGACAGAUGUGGAAGUACCGUAAGGUAUGAAGCUAACUGUUACUAAUUGCUCGAUCGGCUUGAAUU